rnacentral:antisense_RNA from 1 species
UUUGGAUUCUACAUAUUCAGAGAAUAGCCUUCCAGUAGAUUUUAAGCACCUGGAUGAGUGUUCCUCUCUUCAAGCCUUCCGAAACAUCCUCCUUGGACAUGUAAAGAAGCACUGGGCCACACCUAUUUGAGGAGCAGGUGUCUCAGCCUGCCCAAGGCGAGGUAAAAGAGGAAAAAGCUAACACCCCCUUGAAGAGCUCCUCUGCAAUGGGUUCCAGAGUGAGGAUGGUGGAGUGCAUGAAGACAGAAUGCCUUAAAGGAGACUGGUUUCUUUUUAUCCAGUAGGAAAUCAUUCUCUUUUACUUUCACAAGACCGAAACAUAUAAACCAUAUUCUCUGAGAUGAAUAAGGAAAAUUACUACAAAAUAAACUUAUACAUCUAUGUGGAA